rnacentral:rRNA from 1 species
UACGUAGGGGGCAAGCGUUGUCCGGAAUUAUUGGGCGUAAAGAGCGCGUAGGCGGUCCGAUAAGUCGGCUGUGAAAGUCAAGGGCUCAACCCUUGAAAGCCGGCCGAUACUGUCGGACUAGAGUCCGGAAGAGGAGAGUGGAAUUCCUGGUGUAGCGGUGAAAUGCGCAGAUAUCAGGAAGAACACCUAUGGCGAAGGCAGCUCUCUGGGACGGUACUGACGCUGAGACGCGAAAAGCGUGGGGAGCGAACAGG